rnacentral:rRNA from 1 species
GACAGAGGGUGCAAACGUUGCUCGGAAUUACUGGGCGUAAAGCGUGCGCAGGCGGUUUUGUAAGUCUGUCGUGAAAUCCCCGGGCUCAACCUGGGAAUUGCGAUGGAGACUGCAAGGCUGGAGUCUGGCAGAGGGGGGUAGAAUUCCACGUGUAGCAGUGAAAUGCGUAGAGAUGUGGAGGAACACCGAUGGCGAAGGCAGCCCCCUGGGUCAAGACUGACGCUCAUGCACGAAAGCGUGGGGAGCAAACAGG